rnacentral:tRNA from 1 species
GGAGGGUAUAGCUCAAUGGUAGAGCAUGUGCUUAGCAUGCAUAAGGUCCUGGGUUCAAUCCCCAGUACCUCCA